AGGAAGGGAGGGAGUAUGAUCGUAAAAUCAAAAUAGACUAGGAAAGUAGGAAUCAUCAUGUAAUAAAAUCAUACUUGAGUUCGACCAGAAGACCCUAACAACAACAGUAUAUAGAUACAAACGGGGGACGUAUAGAUAUCAAGAAGCACUAAACAGAAAAGAUGAGAAGGUGCAAAAAAGAUGAAGAGAAGCAGGAGAUUAUUAUAUGUAAAGAGCAGUGUUGAAGAAAAUCAUGGGCAGAUCUCGAUUUGGAUGUGUUGGGAGAAGUAAAGAAGAAGCUGUAUUGGGGGGAUCACGCUCGAUUCAGCGCUGUGUGCAAGACUUGGCUGGCCGCAGAGCAUGAAAAAAGGGCCGGUGAUGUAUUGCCCCGGUGGUUAAAGCUGUAUCAUGAGCUUUCGGAUCUUAGGAGGAUCACAUACCACCUGUAUCAACCCUUGAAUAUGGACCAACCAGUUAUCACUCGAUCUAUUAAUUUGGAUGACUUUUUUGACUCAUCCACUGUUUAUACUAAAGUUACGACAGAGGUGUCUCCACCUGCCCUGCCUCUUCAGAUUGCGUCUUUUUAGCUCUUUUUGUUGUUAGUUCUAAGCACCGGACCCUUGGUAUUUUUCGUCAUGGUGAUGCACACUGGACGAUGACUCAAUUUGAUUUUCAACAACCUUUGUUCCGUCCUUGUAGCGAAGCUGUUGUGUUCAUUCGAGGACUUUUCUAUUUUCUCUGUCACGGCCAACGACUUGCAUCCUAUGACAUUGCUUCCGGGGAUUUAGAAAUUAACUCCUUUUCAAUGCCAGCUAAUUGUGGGAGAGGAGUGCGCAAUAUGGGAUUCUUUGCAUUAGAUGGGGAGCUCAUGCUUCUGUAUUACGACCCAAAAGUUUGCAGACAUGUUCUUACAACCUAUGAUUCGUCUCGUAAACUUUGGGUUCCUCUAAAAAGUUUAGGGGACCGUUCUUUGUUCAUCAGCGAGUAUUCUGUUUAUGUAGAUUCUAUGAAUUAUUAUGGAGCAUCUCCCAACAAGAUAUAUUACCAAGAACAUGGGACCUGCGACGCUUAUUCCUUUGAGAAUGGUCUCUUGGAAUCUACUAAAUCCGGACUUAGAAACUGGGAUGGUCUAGAUUGUUCUGCAUCAUUUUCCAUAUGGGUUGAACCUCCUGCUCUUUUGUUGAAAAAAAUAAAAGCCAGCAUAAAAGAAUAUGACACUCAGGCAAAUUGAAGAGGUCUCUUAUGAGAGAUGUAAGUGAUCCCAAGUUCGUCCAAGUAUGUGUUUGCGGAGUCAUAACUAUCAAAACAUUCUGAUAUCUUUUCUUUAUCAUAAAGCCUACUAUUUUGUAAUAUUGAUAUAUUUCCUAUGUAAUUUAAAUGCCGUCUUUUUCUAACAUUGGCAUUUAUCUUGUCAUUUUAAAGUUCCGCCUUUGUAUUCCUAAUGAAUUGGCUACCUGUCCA